AGGUUGGCAUGCUUCUGGAGUCUCCAAAGCAGAAAUGACCACAUGCAUUUAAACAACAUCUUUGCAACAUUCCUUUUACAUGAAGAAAGCCACUAAGAACCUAAAAUGACUGGCACAUGGGAAUUCAUAACUAACUAUAUUGAGAGGCGUGUUCUUUGCCGAGGCCAUGGCCUUGUAGAUUUAGUGCAACACCAAAAUAAAGUAAAGUACCCGGUGAGCACCAUCUUUCCUGGGCGCAGUCUGAAAAGACCUCUUUCAGACUGGAAAAAGCCGUGCACCCUCCUCUCUUCAAUAUGAAAAUAAGUGAUGCACCCAUGUUGCCUACCUUGACAUGCUCCGAGCUCCACAUGGCUGGCAAGAUAAUCACCUACCACGCCCUCACCGGCCCACAAACACAUCUCCACACGCUGCGGCUGAAUCCCCCCAGUGUGGUUCACCCUUUAGGGAGCCAGCCACCCUCUCCUCCGGGACCACUGGGCAGGGACAGCGCCCUCCCCGACAGAGCCCAACCUCAGCACGCACAAGUUCUUGGUCUGCAAGUUUCUUCCCUCAAGGCAGCACCUAAGGAGAGAGGUCUCUCCAGGGAGCUGGUAGAGAAGAUGAUGUUGGAGGGCGGGAGGCAGCAAUGCAAGUGACCGUCGCCCUGGUCCCGGGUGAUGGAAGUGAAGAACAAGGAGGACAGCAGGGAAGAUGAAGGGCGGUGGGACUCGGUGCAUGGUCCUGGACCCGGGGCUGAGCAGACUCACUGGGGCAGAGGAGCAGGUCAGACUGUCCCGAGGCUGCCUGGCCUCACCCUAAAGCCGAGGAAGGAAAGCAAGGCACCCGAAUGCCUCUGGCCCGACCUGUGGGAGCUGGAGCCUCGUGGGGAGCGAAUGAGGCAGGGGAGGCAGACACAGAAAGACGCUGCCCAGCCAGGCCUCUGGGCUUCUGGGUGCCUAGACUUAGGAGUCCCGGGGAGCCUGACACUGCCCAGCCUGGCUUGCAGCUCCUCUGGUAACAACAGAAGCAGCUGGAAAGACCCCUGGGAACCCACGUUCCCGAUAGGUUGGGGUCCUUCCCAGCAAAGACCGCACCCCAGCCCCACCCGGACCCUCUACCCAGACCGUCACCCUGGCCUUCCUUGCCCAGAGGACAAGGAUUGCACGUCAGGAGGUCUUUAGAGAUGCAACGCACUCCCCUUGUUUAGCUUCCUGGGAGACAUACUAGCAAGAAAAUGUCUAUGAGCUAAGUUACAAACAAUCUGUCUUUCUAAGAAGAAUAAUUAAUCGAAUGCCAAAUAGGAGGCACCAGAGUUCUGAAUAAAUGCAGAGACAGUUAGAAGAGCAAAACAUUAUCAUUUGUCCAGCAUAAUUAUUUUCUUGGAAACUGUCAGUGAUUAAUAAGGUGCAUUAUAAAUAUGCUCUUGUGAUCACGUUCUCUCUCUCCCACCUAAUUAACAUGCCAGGGAAUUGCUCUUUUGGUGGGUAAAGACAUUUAAAAUAUAUAUUUCAUGAAAUCUGAGCUAUCUGUCAUAACCUCCAAGAGGAACAAAUAAAAUAUGGAGAAUGCUACAGUCAUUUAAAUCCUUUAUUACAUGGCAGUGUUUACAUAAAUUAGUUCUUCUGGUUCUGCAGAAGAUCGUGUGCCGCAGGACAUGGAGAGUGGCGGGGCACACUCUGCCAGCCCCCGGACCCAGUGUCCACUUCCUUCACGUCCCAGUUUCAGUCCAAGCAACACACACAGGCAGCCACCGAGACCCAUGUCCGGAGCCCCUGCAAGACCAAGUCCCUCUCCGGGUCCACACACCCGCCCCGCAGAGCCUGGGGAAAUGCCACUGUCUGCCCCCUAUGGGUGGGGAAACUGAGUCGGGGCUGUGGGGCUGUGUGUUUAUCACUCCCACACCAAGAGGAGAGAGGGAUGGGAAA
rnacentral:lncRNA from 1 species